AACCCGCCGGUUUACAGCGACACGGGCCACGAGACUCUUGUAGAGGACCAGGAUUCCGUCUGUGCUCGGACCUGUAAAGCUUCUAACGAAAGCGGUCCCGGUAUCAGGUACCUUCCCGGCCAUCAAUAUCGAUACCAAUAUGAAGGCAGGUGGUGAGCCGAGCGAGGGCAGCGGGAGCGCAGAA